rnacentral:lncRNA from 1 species
AAACGUCUUCUUCCUCCUCUUUCAUGUCUUGGUUUCUCUACCCUUUAUUUAUCUUCAAUUUCCACCAUGUUGAUAAUGGAAGAUUCAAGUUGCGGAGUUAGCCAAGAAGAAAAAAAGUAAUUACUGUACUAAUUACUAGUUUAUUCUUUUUAUGCAUUCAUGUAGAAAUUUAAAAUUAUAAUUUUAAGGCUUUAUUAUUAUUAGUAUUACUUUUGAUUUUCGCAAUGAAUGAGAAUGAAUUUGUAAUGCUAAAUUUUUACUAUACAAUUUUCAUGGACUCCAGUCACAUUUGCAGACAGAAUAAAGGUUAAUCAUUAAUGUGUGGGCUUUGAUUAAUAAAAGGACCUACGGUGAUUGGAAAUAGGUUUCUUCAUAUAACAGUUCAGGUUGGUGUGUUUUAAUCUACUGGUUUGUUAGACAUAUGUUUGUUCAUGUAAAUAUUUGUUGUAUCUGGUAGGAAUGUUGAAGAAAAUAUAUAUAUAUAUAUAUAUAUAUAUAUAUAUAUAUGCCCUUAAGCUCUAAUGACGAUAUACUGUUAUACAAACUUAAAUUCUUCAUUCUCAAUUGAAAAUCGAACUGAUCCUUAAGACCUAGAAUAACAUGAGCAAUCAUUCCCUUAUUAUCUACUCCUUUAAUCUUUGAACUUCAACCUCCCCUUUCAAUACUUCCCUCCUCUAAUAUAUAUAUAUAUCUUGAUUCAAAUGAGAAUCAAGAUAAAGUAGAGUGGAAAAAUUGAGACCCUGCUUAAGCAAUUUGGCAAUAUCACAAAAAUCAACUCUAAAGCAGGGAAACGACAUUUUGAAAGUGCUACUUCUAGCUAGGACAACAUACUUUCUAGCAACGUGCUUGAGGAAAACACACCCUUUACAUUUUAAUUUUUCAACUCAUUUAAGUUAUUUGACAUGCUGCUUGACAAGCAUUGCACACACCAUUUUGCAAGAACUGCCCUGUUACACUGGCAGCUUACAAGUUACACCUUUUCGGGUGGUAUGUAUAUGAAAGCAUGAAUUAUUCUUGCACCCUUAGAACAUAUACAAAUCAAACAAAGCAGAGAAAGUGACAUUAUAAUUAAGAGAAGUGGUCAUGGAAAUAGACUAUAUAGAGAAUUCUUAGUUUCAUAUAGCUGAAAAUACAGUCCAUUUCAAGAAGCUGAUCACAAGUAACUUACAACUCACAAGCAAGCUCAGAUGAACAAACUUUGCUUAUAUAUUAAUUAAAGAUUUUGCUUCUAUACUUGAGAACAUCAUACCAUAUAAGAUAGACAAAUUAAAAACAAUCGAAAAUUAAACUACACAGCAUGUUUAAUUGAGAUUGAUCAUUUCUUGAAAGGUGGAGAAUCAGAUGAUGGUGGAGGUAAGAAAGGAAGCAAUGGUGGUCCAGGGUCACUGGGUUGAACAACAACAGGAAUAGGUGGUGGAAAUGGAAAUGGUUCUUGAGGAGGGAUGAUUAGAUCGG